rnacentral:rRNA from 1 species
UACGUAGGGGGCUAGCGUUGUCCGGAUUUAUUGGGCGUAAAGAGCGUGUAGGCGGCCAGGUAGGUCUGGUGUGAAAACUCGAGGCUUAACCUCGAGAUGUCAUCGGAAACCAUCUGGCUCGAGUCCGGGAGAGGGGGGUGGAAUUCCCAGUGUAGCGGUGAAAUGCGUAGAUAUUGGGAGGAACACCGGUGGCGAAGGCGGCCCCCUGGACCGGUACUGACGCUGAGGCGCGAAAGCUAGGGGAGCAAACGGG